GACGAACGCUGGCGGCGUGCUUAACACAUGCCAGUCGAACGGUAAGGCCUUUCGGGGUCCCCGAGUGGCGAACGGGUGAGUAACACGUGGGUGAUCUGCCCUGCACUUCGGGAUAAGCCCGGGAAACUGGGUCUAAUACCGGAUAGGACUGCGCGGUGCAUGCCGUGUGGUGGAAAGAUUUAUCGGUGCAGGAUGGGCCCGCGGCCUAUCAGCUUGUUGGUGGGGUAAUGGCCUACCAAGGCGACGACGGGUAGCCGGCCUGAGAGGGCGACCGGCCACACUGGGACUGAGACACGGCCCAGACUCCUACGGGAGGCAGCAGUGGGGAAUAUUGCACAAUGGGCGCAAGCCUGAUGCAGCGACGCCGCGUGAGGGAUGACGGCCUUCGGGUUGUAAACCUCUUUCAGCAGGGACGAAGCGUGAGUGACGGUACCUGCAGAAGAAGCACCGGCCAACUACGUG
rnacentral:rRNA from 1 species